UCCAAGGUAACUUAGUGGACAUGGCAUCUGCCCGUUAAGCGGAAUACUGUGGGUUCGAUUCCCAUCCCUGGAU